GGCGAGAUGGCCGAGCGGUCUAAGGCGCCAGAAUCAGGUAAUUUCAUUGUCCCUCAUCUGGUCCGAAAGGGCAGGGGUUCGAAUCCCCUUCUCGUCA